UACGUAGGUGGCAAGCGUUGUCCGGAUUUACUGGGCGUAAAGAGCGCGCAGGCGGUCGUUCAAGUCGCGUGUGAAAGCCCCCGGCUCAACUGGGGAGGGUCACGCGAUACUGAUCGACUCGAAGGCAGGAGAGGGUAGUGGAAUUCCCGGUGUAGUGGUGAAGUGCGUAGAUAUCGGGAGGAACACCAGUGGCGAAGGCGACUACCUGGCCUGUUCUUGACGCUGAGGCGCGAAAGCUAGGGGAGCAAACGGG
rnacentral:rRNA from 1 species